GGGAUCAGGUAAGGGUGAAAGGGUGCGGUAAGAGCGCACCGCGCGGCUGGUAACAGUCCGUGGCACGGUAAACUCCACCCGGAGCAAGGCCAAAUAGGGGUUCACAAGGUACGGCCCGUACUGAACCCGGGUAGGCUGCUUGAGCCAGUGAGUGAUUGCUGGCCUAGAUGAAUGACUGUCCACGACAGAACCCGGCUUAUCGGUCAGCUUCACUC
rnacentral:RNase_P_RNA from 1 species